rnacentral:misc_RNA from 1 species
GAACUGCGAUAAGUAAUGUGAAUUGCAGAAUUCAGUGAAUCAUCGAGUCUUUGAACGCACAUUGCGCCCCCUGGCAUUCCGGGGGGCAUGCCUGUCCGAGUGUCAUUGCUGCCCUUCAAGCCCGGCUUGUGUGUUGGGUCGUCGUCCCCUCCGGGGGACGGGCCCGAAAGGCAGCGGCGGCACCGCGUCCGGUCCUCGAGCGUAUGGGGCUUUGUCACCCGCUCGAUAAGGACCGGCCGGGCGCCAGCCGGCGUCUCCAACCUUUUUUUCUCAGGUUGACCUCGGAUCAGGUAGGGAUACCCGCUGAACUUAAGC